ensembl:lncRNA
GGCUAAGUAAUCUCCAUCCUGCCUGUUUCAUCAGAAUCAAUGGAGAUCAUGCACAAAAAAGCAUGAACUGCUAAGUGUUCUGUAUGUUUCUGAAGUUAACAGAUGCCUGCUGAUACAAUGUGUUGAAUAGUUCUUGCGGUUAGACAGCAUCAUUAAUCGAACAAGAAGUGAAAUACAAUUCAUAAAUGGAUAGAGAAUAUCACUUUCACGUGGCCCACACACCCGUGGCAAACAAUUUCGUCAGCAGCAUCUCUGGCUUCAAGCAUUGAAGGAUGUGUCAGUGGAUUUUGUGAAAUAAGCCAAGAAUUAAUUGCCUUUCACUGUGGCUGAAGUGAUUGAAAGCUCUGCGAAGCCCUCACCAGAAGCAGAUGCUGGUACCAUGCUUCUUGUACAGACUGCAGAACCGAAACAAGUGCUUGUUCCUUGGUGCCAAAAAGAAGAACCAGCAUUCAGACAAAGAACUUUUCUCAGCAAGGUGAUCUUACUUUCUGCAGAAAGGGUGCUUCUUGGAAGUCUGCUUGUCAUGGGAGCACACUGAACAAAUACAAGCAGGAGUUAUUAUCCCUGACACAUUGGAUCCUUACUGCUGUGUCCUAUCCCCAUUGGCUGGAGCUGGACUGCCUGCCCAAUCUAGACUGAUCCGAACUGGCUAAAAACUUAAAAGUUUCCUAAAUAGGUAAACGUGCAGUAAUGAACAAAGAAAGUAAAGGGAUUGUUUAUGGGAAAGUAGGAGAAUAAUAACAUUUCCAAAUAAGGAAGAGGUGUAGGCUGUAAGCUGGGAAAUGCUUGGGCAUGUUAGAACAUGUCUGAGCAGGCUAUAGGCCAGAACAAAUAACAUGGUUAAAAUACAAGGACAUAAAAUGCACUUAUUCCCUUACCAUAUUUAAUGGCUACAUAGGGCUUAACAAAGAGUUAUUAGCAAAAAGCAAGGAAUGUUGAAGGAAGCUAGUUUUUAAAAGAAACUAUUAUUUCUGACACUUAUUAUUUAUUCUUUAACAAAAAGAGAAACCUUGCAGAUAAACUUUACUUUUCACAAAUAGAAACAAUGUCCUACUUUUCAUUUCUGUUAAGAACUCUACUCAGCUUUUCAAAUAAAUUUCUGUUUAUGUAAUUUAAUUCUUUUGACAAUAAAAC